rnacentral:rRNA from 1 species
UAAAGGCUCACCAAGGCGACGAUCCCUAGCUGGUCUGAGAGGAUGAUCAGCCACACUGGAACUGAGACACGGUCCAGACUCCUACGGGAGGCAGCAGUGGGGAAUAUUGCACAAUGGGGGAAACCCUGAUGCAGCCAUGCCGCGUGUAUGAAGAAGGCCUUCGGGUUGUAAAGUACUUUCAGCAGUGAGGAAGGUGGUNAUGUUAAUAGCAUNAUCAUUUGACGUUAGCUGCAGAAGAAGCACCGGCUAACUCCGUGCCAGCAGCCGCGGUAAUACGGAGGGUGCGAGCGUUAAUCGGAAUUACUGGGCGUAAAGCGCAUGCAGGCGGUCUGUUAAGCAAGAUGUGAAAGCCCGGGGCUCAACCUCGGAACAGCAUUUUGAACUGGCAGACUAGAGUCUUGUAGAGGGGGGUAGAUUUUCAGGUGU